GCUCGCAGGCUUCGAAACAUGGUUUCUUUCAGCCACCGGGUUCCCUUCGAACCCUGAUUUUGACGAAGCAAAAGGGAAUCCGCGGCCCAAACUCAAGGUAAGUCCCCUUUUUCUUUUCUUUUUUUGAAUGUAAAAUGACAAAAAUUAAAAAAAGGGAAGAAAUAGCAAAUAGAACCGAAGAACAAAGAUCACCUUCUCAAGAAGUGGCUUUCUGAUUUUCAAGCAAUGUGUAUUGCGUAUGUAUUGUGUGUAUUCAUUUAUAUUGCCUUCGUAACCAUUACAAAGAUUAAAUCGUUGGCUUUAUAGCCGAAAAGAAAUCAAAAGAUAAAAAAUACAAACAAAUUCCUAUUGGCUGUCGUUCUCGCUGCUGUUUUUUGUUUCCUUUCGCAGGUACAGGUGCGUGGCGUAUGUACGAGGCUGUAGUGGCGUACGAGGGCUAUUGACGUAGAGGCCCGAGCGUUGUACGGCGCCUGGAGGCUGCAGUAGUUGCUGCGGCACAAGCAGAGGAGAUGACCUAGGGUUUCUGAGGCUGUUAGGGAAAUGGGCCUAUAGGGCUUGCUCCGAUUUGGGUUCUAACAUUAAUUUGGGCUUGUAAUGGGCAUCGGGUUUGUCUUUGGAUCAUAGGAUUGGUCUUUGUAAAUAGGCUAUGGGCUAUAUUAGUAAUUUUUGGACUAAUGGACUGUAAAAGGACAUUUGGGUUUUAUGUUUAUUAUUUUUGGUUUGUUUUUUGUUUUUUUAUAUGGGUCGAACAAAUUUGGCCCACUACAGCUACCCCUCUUUGCUCAUUGUUGUGUAACGAGAAUAGAGCAAAGACUAUCAAAUGACCAAAUUUGCCCAGUCUGGCUAAGUCUCAAAAUCUUGACCCUCAUCUUCCCCAAAGGUAUUCUGAUGUCUUUAGGAGUGUCAAAUUGGCUAUCCUCAACUUGCUUCUUGAAAACUCAGGAACACCAAUCUGUUAUUUUCGAUCUGCUCUCUGCCAAUACAGAGAUGCCAAAUCUGCUAUCUUCGAUCUGCUCUCUGUCAAUACAGAGACGCCAAAUCUGCUAUAUUCGAUCUACCCUCUGACAAUACAGAGACGCCAAAUCUGCUAUCUUCGAUCUGCCCUCUAACAAUACAGAGACACCAAAUCUGCUAUAUUCGAUCUGCUCCUUGCCAAUACAGAGACGCCAAAUCUGUUAUCUUCGAUCUGCUCUCCGCUAAUACAGAGACACCAAAUCUGCUAUCUUCAAUUUACUCUCCGCCAGUACAGAGACGCCAAAUCUGCUUAUCUUUAAUCUGCUCUCCGCCAAUACAGAGACGCCAAAUCUGCUAUCUUCGAUCUGCCCUCUGACAAUACAGAGACGUCAAAUCUGUUAUCUUCGAUCUGCUCUCUGUCAACACAGAGAUGCCAAAUCUGCUAUCUUCGAUCUGCUCUCUACCAAUACAGAGACGCCAAAUCUGCUAUCUUCGAUCUGCUCUCCGCUAAUACAGAAACGCCAAAUCUGCUAUCUUCGAUUUGCUCUCCGCCAAUACAGAGACGCCAAAUCUGCUAUCUUCGAUCUGCUCUCUGUCAACACAGAGAUGCCAAAUCUGCUAUCUUUGAUUUGCUCUCUGCCAAUACAGAGACGCCAAAUCUGCUAUCUUAAUCUGCCCCCUGCCAAUACAAAGACGUCAAAUCUGUUAUCUUCGAUCUACUCUCUGUCAACACAGAGAUGCCAAAUCUGCUAUCUUCGAUCUACUCUCCGCCAAUACAAGAACGCCAAAUCUGCAGGAUUCGCCAAUGUCGCUACACUGUCUUCUAAAGACAUGAUGUAUAGAAUGGGUUUCCUGUAUCUGUGUAUGUCAAAUAACUAGGAUACUAUGAUCGAGAUGAAUCAAACAUCCCUAACUAGAUGUAGUGUUUAUGUCAAAUAAUUAGAAUGCUAUGAUCGAAAUGAAUCAAGUGCUCCUAACUAAAUGAAUGAUUACGAAUGUAGAAAUGUCAUGAGAGUGAUUCCUUUUUAAACGCUUAAGGUAUCAUUGCUCAUAAUUCACCAAGGUUCUAUCAUUGAUGUACUAUCACGCUCUCUUACUUAGCCGUUAUCUUUGAUAGAAAAUUUGAAGAAAUAGUCACAAGUAGGACUCUUCUUUUUCGAAUGUUUCCAACUUUGAACCUGAUUAGUCCUAACUAGUGGCCCUGUUUCAGGUUCUUGUACUAUUUAGAGACUUUCCAAAGUAAUAUGCAUAACAUCUUUUGUGUGAAUAUUACAUGUCCAAAAAUCGCGAUUUCAACAAAAAUGCUCGCAAGAGAUUAUCAUAAUGGACAAAUGGAAUUUUAUUAAGCAAAAUUUGACGUGAAUACAUAGGAUCACGAAUAUGAUAAGGUGCAAAGAAUGAGAAAAAGGUGCCCCAGAUAUCGCAGCACGAGUUUCACUAUUCUAAUUUCUCAAAGGCUCCUUCGAACCAAAUGUAUAUUCAGGAGAUCCUGCGAAUUUUUUUGAUUCUCCAAGGUGUACUGUUCUUCUGUCUUGCUGAUUUCGGGAGGACAAGACUACCAUAUGCCCCAUAUUUAAAAUUUGAGCUGCCCGUUUUUGGGUUUUCAACUCAAAAGCCCCUUUGGUUCUAAAGUGCCCUUUGCGGGUUUUCACCUUGGCCUCUCCAUUAUUUUUUUUCAGAGUUCAGAGCGCCCUUUGCGGGUUUUCACUCUAGCCUCUCUUUCUUCAGGUAAAAUAUUUCUUGACCGAACCUGAGUUUACAGGAUUGGGCAAGUUUCUACCAUCCAUCUUAGCUAGAAUCAAUACUCCUCCGGAGAAAGUUUUCUUCACCACGUAAGGUUCUUCCCAAUUAGGCAUCCAUUUCCCUCGAAAAUCCUUCUGUAUGGGGAGGAUCUUUUUCAAAACCAGAUUUCCCUCGUGGAAUUCUCUAGGGCGAACCUUUUUGUCAUAAGCCUGCAUCAUUCGUUUUUGGUAUAUCUGACCAUGACGAAUAGCUUUUAGCUUUUUUUCCUCGAUCAAGUUCAAUUGGUCAUAUCGAUACUGGACCCACUCUGUUUUAUCCAAUUUUAGUUCCGACGACACUCGGAAGGAUGGGAUCUCGACUUCGAUGGGCAAAACUGCUUUCAUUCUGUAGACCAGGGAGAAAGGCGUUGCCCCAGUUGAGGUUCUGACCGAUGUUCGAUAAGUAAAGAGGGCAAAUGGUAAUUUCUCAUGCCAAUCUUUGUAGGUCUCGGUCAUCUUUCCCACGAUAUUCUUAAUAUUUUUAUUGGCUGCUUCCACUGCCCUAUUCAUCUUCGGGCGAUAUGGUGACGAGUUGUGAUGUCUGAUCUUAAAUUGACUGCAGACUUCCACUAUCGUACUGUUGUUCAAGUUUAAUGCAUUGUCAGAUAUGGUCCUCCCCGGUAUUCCAUAUCGACAUAUGAUCUCUUUUUUCAAGAACCUGCUCACUGCUGACUUUGUAACACUAGCAUACAAAGCAGCUUCUACCCAUUUGGUGAAGUAGUCGAUAACCAAAAAGAUGAACCGAUGCCCAUUGAAAGCUUUUGGCAAUAUUGGUCUAAUCACAUCCAUGCCCCACAUAGAGAAAGGCCAUGGGGAAACCAUGACAUGUAGCGGUGAAGGAGGCACAUGAAUUUUGUCUCUAUAAAUUUGACAUUUAUGACACCUCUUGGCGUAAUUGAUACAGUUUCCUUCCAUAGUGGACCAAUAAUACCCAAAUCUCAUAAUUUGCUUGGCCAUUGUGAAGUCAUUAGCGUGUGUCCCACAAACGCCCUCAUAGACUUCUUCCAAGAUUUUCUUAGCCUCUACAGCGUCGACGCAUCUUAAUAGCACUUGAUCCUUUCUUCUUUUGUAUAGGAUCUCCCUAUCUAAGACAUAGUUGAUGGCCAAUCUUCUCAGCGUCCUUUUGUCAUUUUUACUUGCCUGGUCGGAGUAUUCACGAUUCCUCACGUAUUGCAAUAUAUCAUGAUACCAAGGGUGAUCAUCUUUUUCUUCUUCCUCUUCAAUAUUAUAACAGUGAGCUGGAGUUUCAUAAAUGCCCAUCCGGAUGGGUUUGACAUCUUCUUGUUUGUUCACCUUGAUCAGGGAGGCUAAGGUAGCCAAAGCGUCAGUCAUCUGAUUUUCAUCUCGUGGAAGGUAGUGGAAGGUAAUAUCAUCAAACUCUUUAUCCAAAUCCAGGACCAGCUUCCGAUAAUCGAUUAACUUGGGGUCUCUGGUCUCCCAUUCUCCCUUGAGUUGAUAAAUCACUAGCGCAGAAUCUCCAUACACCUCUAGCAUUUUAAUCUUAUGUUCUAUGGCUGCACGGACUCCCAUGAUGCACGCCUCAUAUUCCACCAUAUUAUUCGUACAAUCAAAAUCCAAUUUACUAGUGAAUGGAUAAUGAUCUCCGUUUGGGGAUACCAAGACGGCCCCGAUUCCAUUGCCCACAGCAUUUGACGCCCCGUCGAAGUUCAAUUUCCAAGGAAGUUCUUCUAGAGCACCUUCUUCAGUGGUAGCAACACAUAUUAGGUCUUUAUUCAGAAAGUCGAAGUUCAAAGGCUCGUAGUCUUCCAAAGCUCUACUGGCCAGGAAAUCUGCUAUUGCACUUCUUUUUACCGCUUUCUGGUUCACAUAGACUAUGUCGAAUUUAGAAAGCAGAAUCUGCCAUCGGGCCAUCCUUCUAUUCAAGGCUGUUGACUCCAUCAUGUACUUUAAAGGGUCUAAUUUUGAUAUGAGCCAAGUGGUGUGAUACAACAUAUACUGCCUCAGCCUUCGGGUUGUCCAAAUUAGGGCACAACACAACUUCUCUAUCGGUGGGUAUCUUGUCUCACAUUCCGUGAACUUUUUACUAAGAUAGUCAAUAGCCUUCUCUUUCCUUUCUGACUCAUCAUGCUGACCCAAUACGUAUCCCAUGGAAUUCUCAAAUACUGUCAAAUACAGUAUCAAUGGCUUAUCGGGGUUAGGUGGCAUUAGCAUCGGGGCGUUGGAUAAGUACUGUUUGACCUUGUCGAAAGCCCUUUGACAUUCUUCAUCCCAUUCACCUGGGUUAUGUUUCUUGAUGAGGCAAAAGACAUGGUCACAUUUCUCGGUCAGUUGUGAAAUAAACCGAGCAAUGUAAUUUAGUCUUCUUAGAAAGCCUCGAGCCUCCUUUUGGGUACGCAGUGGAGAUAGCUCUUGUAUGGCUUUGACUUUGUCUGGAUCAAUCUCAAUCUCUUUUUCACUAACCACGAAUCCGAGCAACUUUCCAGACUUGGCUCUGAAUGUACAUUUGGCUGGGUUGAGUUUUAGCUGAAACUUCCUCAACCUCAAGAACAAUUUUCUCAAGACUUGUAUGUGCUCCUUCUCUGUUCGAGAUUUUGCGAUCAUAUUAUCGACAUAAACCUCGAUUUCUUUAUGCAUCAUGUCGUGGAACAGGGUUACCAUGGCUCUUUGAUAAGUUACCCCCGUAUUCUUCAGUCUAAAUGGCAUCACUUUGUAACAGAACGUACCCCACAUGGUUACAAAUGUAGUCUUCUCCAUAUCCUCAGGAUGCAUCUUGAUUUGGUUAUAUCCAGAAAAAUUAUCCAUGAAUGAAAACAGUAAGUGUCCUACCGUGUUGUCCACUAGGGUAUUGAUAUGAGGCAGCGGGAAAUUAUCUUUCGAGCUGGCUUUAUUCAAAUCUCUGUAGUCCACACACAUUUACACUUUUCCAUCUUUCUUAGGGACGGGGACGAUGUUAGCUACCCAAUCUGAGUAUUUUACCACCUUCAGAAAUCCGGCGUCGAACUACUUUUGAACCUCUUCUUUUAUUUUUAACAAGACAUCGGGCCUCAUUCUUCGGAGUUUUUGCUGAACUGGCUUACAUUCUUCCUUUAUGGGGAGUCAGUGUCCAGCCCAGGCAUAUCUUGGUAUGACCAUGCUAAGACAUCUUUAAAUUCUUGAAGUAAUUCAAUGAGGUCUCGCUUCAUCUCCGUAGUGAUACACGUUCCGAUCUUCACCUCUUGCCCUUCUCUUAAGCUCAUAAUUUCAACUGAUUCUUUGUGAGGUAAGAUUUGUUUCUCGUCUUGUUCUACCAUCCUCAACAAAUCAGGAGAUAAGUUACAGCCUUGGUCAUCUUCAAAAUCCUGAGAAUCCUCCAUACACACAUCUCGCUCGAAAGGUAAUUCUGAGUCGCUAGUAGUGUCACUCGUAUCAUUAAUAUCUGGGGACCUGUUAUGAGGAUGAAGGCAGAUACAAAGAAUCAAAAGAAUUCGAAACAUUUAUUUGCGUGGUAUGAUUAUGAAUGACGAAUGAAAGAAUAUUUAGAAGAAUGUUUCAAGAAUAAAAGAAUCCGAAAAUAAUCAUUUGUAUGGUUAUGAAUGAAAUUGAAAGGACGAGAGAACAUUUGCUCAAAAAUGAUAAUAACCGUGCAUUUGAUUGAAAUAACGCUUUUAAACAUUAGCCUAUUUCACAAAAGAUUCUUAUUACUCCUAGGCCUAGAGCAAUAAGUGUAUUUUGGACAUUACUCUGAAUCUGUUCUAAAAACUACAUGAAUCUCUUCCGCAGUCCAGUUGUCCAGAACACUUCCAGGUGUGUAGGGGCAAAUGUCUGACAAAUUUUCUCUUUCAGUCUCCUCUUCGUAUAUGACAUUGAUGUCUAAGCUUUCCAACCUUUCUUCUAUAGCUCCCAUCAUUGGCGUGUCUCUCUUAGGAUAAAUGAUUCCCCCGGAAAAAAAUGUUUUCGAUAUAUGGGGGAAUAUUAUUGGUUCUCACUUGAUUUUCUCCCCCGUUAACUGUGUUCUCCUUCUCUCUUGCUUCUUUUCUAGCUCCCUUCUCCUUUGUUUCGCAUCUGGCUUAAAUCCUAGGUCGAAGCGGUCUCUCUUGUCUUUCAGUAUUGGCGUUUCAAUCCUUCAUUGUAGAUGUCUCCCAAGUUCUCUCCCGGGUAGGGCCCAUUUUCCAAUCGUCAACUGGAGGCUCAUCCUCGUGGUUUUGGACAAUUUUGGCACCAGAAUUUUACUUCCCUCGGCGAUGAACGUCGCAUUAACAAAUUCUAAAGAUCGAAAUGAGCAUUCGAUUGCUUCAUCAUCUGUCUCCAAAUAUGGUGCAUUAUUGCUCACAGUUGCAAUGGUAUCCUCUUCAGCCUUGAUCGUUAUCAGCCUCCCCUCCGAUACCAGCUUCAAUUUUUUAUGCAACGAGGAAUGCACUGCCCCAGCUGAAUGUAUCCAGGGCCUCCCCAAUAAGCAAUUAUAUGAGGGCUUGAUAUCCAUCACGAGGAAAUCGGCCUCAUAUGUGUUUGGCCCGAUCUGAAGAGGUACAUCAAUUCUGCCCAUCACCUUCCUCUCCGUGCCGUCGAAUGUCUUUACGAUGUUUUGGAAUUCCUUUAUGUGAGAGCUGUCUAUAGGUAAUCUGUUAAGUGUAGUCAAGGGCAAAAUGUUCAAGGCUGAACCAUUGUCAAUCAGUACGCCUGGCAGCGUAUACCCUUUACAGUGCGUGGUAAUAUACAAAGCUUUAGUCGACUCCAUGCCCCCAGGUGGUAUCUCAUCGUCAUUGAAGAAAAUAAAAUUGUCGGCACUGAUGUUGCUAACCAAACGGUCCAACUUGUUAUCAUUGGCAACGUACGUUUCAUUCAAGACCUUCAUUAGCGCACUACGAUAAAUUUCUGAGCUUAGAAGCAAGGCCAGCACCGAGAUACGGGCUGGUUGUUUACGUAGCUGUUCCACCACACUGUAUUCGCUAUGCUUUAGGAAUUUUAAAAACUCAUUGGCCUCCUCUUCGUUAACUGGCUCGUUAACAGGUUCGGUUGCUUUUCCCUUCAUUUCCUCGACCACCUGGGUUUUUCCUUUUGUGGGCUAUGCCUCCUCAUUUGCUAUAUCGUAACGUCUCCCGCUACGUGUAUAGGAGCCCCUAUCUUGGUCCCCUCUUGAAGCGUUAACCAGGUUCUCCUUUCCCGGUAUCGUCACACUGCACUCAUAAUUCCAUGAGACAUUUUUGCUAUAUUUGUAGGGGAAGACUGCAGGUCUUUGGAUUAUGACCCUCGGUGGCACUUGUACUCUAGCUUCAUUAUUUUGGGGUCUCAAAAUGAUCACCACAGGAUAGUUAGAUGUUCGAUUCUGUACCGUCGAUUCUUCCUCCGAUGCGUAUAUAUCUCCCUCUACAGGGUUUUUGGCUUCUUCAUAAAACUCAAUUUCCUUAUUGUUCAUCAUGUUUUGCACUAAGGCUUUGAACUCCACGCAAUCUUGGAUUUCAUGCCCCACCUCAUCGUGAAACUCACAGUAGUUUCUCUCUUCUUCGGAUUCUUCCCUUGAAUCCAACGCGAUCAAUCCUCUCUUGGCCAUCUCCUUCCAUACCCGCCUCAACGGGGUCCUGACUUCUGCCACCUCAUACUUGGUCUUCUUAUUCCUACCUUCACUUAUCUCAUUCACUCAUUGGUCGAUAUGAUUAGGGAGUGGGUUUUCUGCUACAUUGGGUGUGGCUGGGUCGUCAAAUCUCACGAUCCCCAUCUUAAUAAGUCUUUCAAGUACUUUCUUAAACGCAGCGCAGUUUUCGAUAGAGUGCCCGGUGAUUCCUGCGUGGUAUUCACAUUGGGCGUUUGUGUCAUACCAUUUGGGAUACGGGGGCUGCAGUGGCUUCAGGUAGAAAGGAGACACCAUAUGAGCUUGAACAGGUUCUGGUACAACUCCCUAUACGUCAUGGGUAUAAGGGUGAAUUGUGGCCUUUCUGUGUUCUCCCUCGCGUUGGAUUCUUGUUUUACAGAGCUUUGCUGAUUGGUGGUCACCGUCUUGGGUUGAUUUACGGUGAAUGACUUGGACUGACCCUUGUUGAAUGUGCUCGUGUUGUUUACUUCAUUGUCUCUUUUCCUCAGGGCUGACUUCCUGGUACUAUCCCUGAAUUCUAUCUUACCGCUCCUUAUAGAAUUUUCGAUAAUUUCCCCCGUCAUCACUAUGUCGGAGAAGCUCUUGGUGGCGCUUCCCAACAUAUGAGUGAUUAAAGGGGCUUUCAAGGUGUUGAUAAUGAGCAUUGUCGUCUCUUUUUCUAGAAGCAGCGGCUGAACUUGUAUGGCCACUUCUCUCCACCUUUGUGCAUACUGUCUGAAGCGUUUAUUUGACUUUUUCUCCAUAUUCUGGAGAGUGAUUCUGUCGGAGGUCAUGUCCGUCACGUGGUUGUAUUGUUUCAUAAAGGCCUGAGCCAGGUCCUUCCAUGAGUUAAUUUUAGAGCGGCUUAAUUGGUUAUACCAUUUAGACACUGCCCCGACCAGACUAUCUUGAAAGUAAUGGAUCAAUAGCUGGUCGUUGUUAACAUAUCCCGUCAUUCGCCUGCAGAACAUAGUGAUGUGGGCUUCAGGGCAGCUUGUUCUAUUGUAUUUCUCGAACUCGGGCAUUUUGAAUUUGGGGGGAAGGACUAAAUCUGGGACCAAAUUCAAGUCCUUGGCAUCAAUCCCUUGAUGAUGAUCCGCGCUCUCCAUGACUUUGAAUUUCUCCUUAAGCCAUCUACAUCGUUCUUCCAAUAGUUUUUACGAAUCUGCACUCGCCUUUUCUUCUUCAGCAACUUCAUCCAAAUCGGGAACGGGCGGAUAGUUUGGGUUGUUGACAAAGUUAGAGCCUGAGCCGGCUUGGAAGUUAUUGCUGGGGUAUGAUUGUGACAGAUGGUUUUUGUAGGUUAAUCUCGGGAUUCAUCAGUAUAUACAUCGGAGUAAAGCCAAGGGGUAUUGGAGAUCCUCAUUAAUUUCUUCAACUUUGUCCAUGGGGCUCUUUCCCUUAUACAUUCCUCCCAACAGCAAUUUGGACAACUGGGACAUCAUUUCUCUCUGGGACUCCAUCAUUUGUUCAUUCAUCUCUAGCUGAAUCUUGGCUAGUUGCUAUUGCAUCUGAGGCUACAUUUGUUCUUGCAUGUCCUUUUGCAUUUGCUCUAAUUUCUCAAGUCUCUUAUCUAUUGAUUUUUUUUGUACCGUAGGGGUGCGUGGUUGGUUGGUUUUCGUUAGUUUCCAGGUUACUGAAAUAAUUUUUAAUUAAUUAAUUAGAAAACUCUUAUGGCCAUUAAUGCAUAAUGAUAUGAUGUAAUGAAAAUGCAUGAAUGCAAAUGAGGCAUCAAUUUUGAUUCAAUUGCCCUUAGAAAAUUUCACUUGAAAAUAAAAUCUUUUUACAUAAAGUUGAGUUACAAAUAAAAUUUCGCUCUAAUACUCAAAGUCCUAAUUUUUCUAAACAACGGGCUAGCUCUUGUCUACGAUCCAAUUCCAACUCAUACUUCACGCUCAGUGUGUUCGCCUGAACCACUAAAGUUUGCAAGUAGUCUGCUACCUCCCGAAUCUGGGCUAUGGCUUCCCUCAUAAGGUAAUCUCUAUUUCUGACUUGGUCUUGCGCAUGGUGAAGCUGUUCUUUCCAACGAUCUUUGUUUGCCUCGAAAAACUGGAUCCGCAUCUCACAGUUUUGCAGUGACGCCUCUAACUCUUCUAUUUUUCCUUUCAUUUCUUCUAUCUUGCUCAAGCUUGCUCUCAAUUCCAUUGCAGUGUUGCGGUUUCGGUACUGAUGCAGAGACUUCUCAAGUUCUGCCACUCUAGCCCUUAAUUCACCUCGCUCAUUUCUGCUCUUCGACAGACUAUUCUCCAAAUCUUCGUUUCGUGUCUGAGCUUCUCGGAAUUUUCUUUCCCACCAGUCGGUAUUGGCUUUUUCUUCUUGAAUUUCAUGGCGCCAUUGUUCGGAAGUCUUACCUAAACCUGCAGUCCUCAUAGAUAGGCGUAGCUUCUUGUAGUCCGUCUUCAAGUUGUCUAGAUCUUCUUCGGCCUUAGUUUUUCCUUUUCUCCACUUCUUAGCCUCUGACCUCUGAACAUCAGCAUCUAACCUUAAGUGCAUCUUCUCUUCCUCCAAUUGUUCGAUCUUCUUCCCAAGCUCCAAAAUCUUCUUCUCGAAGUCUUGUUUUAUAAUUUCCAAUUCUGAUAGGGCGACUCGUAAUUGUUCUUCGAUAGGUCGAGCAUUCUCCAAGCUUGGCCUAAGAAUAUUAUCAUUAACCCUCUUCUUAAACCACUCGUUAUACUCAGGCGUUACCAUGGAACCGAUGGCUAACCUCUUCAUCCAACAAGUUUACUUUCAAGCAUUCGAUAACUCCCGAACUCUCUUCUUAUAGUGAGCACUUUUAAACGAGAAAUCACUCUGAGCAAAUCCAUAGGUCGCGGGUACAAACUACCUCAACUUAUAUUGCCUCAAGGCUAGCAAUGGAGUAUACCCUGUAGCUCCCCAAAUCCCUAACAAUGGCACCCAAUCGAAGUUACCACAUCGGUACAUGAUCUCGUCAGGAACCAUCCAAUAAGCUCUCCACUCGAUAUCCCCCUCCUUGAGGUUCUGAAGAAUAUCCAUCCACUUCUCUUUCGAGAUAUCCUCUCUCCUUUGUAUAGCUACCUCUUCUUUUAACGAAGAAUAACCCUCAGAAAAGACCCGAUAGGGAACCUUGUCUACCUUCCAAAAGUGCUCGCGAAACCAUGCCAUCAAUAAUUGUGCACAUCCAAUGAACCGUCCUUCACCCAUCCUCUGACAUGAGCUCAAAGAUCUGAAUGUUUCUGCCAAUAUUGCCAGUACCGGUGUGAUUCCCUUCUCAAGGCGAUCGAAUAAAUCAAUGACUGCUUUGUCCACGUGCCUCAAAGCCUUGGGAAAAAUUACCAACCCGUAGAGGCUUAAGGCAAAGAGGUCGACCCUCUUUCUUUCGUCUGGAUGCGUCAAGAUCAAAUCUCACAAAUUCUCCCAAGGGAUACAUUUGCUAUCUCCUUUUCGCUAAAUCCGUGCGGUGACCCAAGGCUCCCUUAUCCCAGAAAUGCUCAUCCGAAAGUCUGACUACUAAAAACCCGGGCAUAAGUCUUCCGGACCUGAAUUUUUGGACACCUGAGCAAAGUAGUGUAUUCCUCCAUGGUAGGUACCAAAUCCACUUCUCCAAAAGUGAAACACUUGUACGCAGAAUUCCAAAACUGCACCAAGGCUCAGAACAAAUGCUUAUCCACUCUAAUGUCUAGUAGGUAGGAUAUGUCACCAUAGCUUUGGUAAAACAACUACUUGAUCCCUUCAUCCCAACUAGCCCAAAUGCCUCUCAACUCUUGCAGCUCAUUCUGUACUACGUUGACGCAAGUGAAAUCCUACAGCUCCGAUACAUACCCUUCUGCCAAGCUAUCCCCUCUCUCUAAUUGUAGCCUUUCCGAACAUGCACGAAUGGCCGCAUUAUCCUCGAUUUUACUAAGAAAUUCAUUCUCCAUGUCAAACUUUCUAACUUAGUAAUUGAAUACGGAUUAACACCUCCUUUAGUAUGCAAUGUCAUGCAAAAAAAAUCAAAACAAAACACAGGUUAGUAUCACAUGAUAAUGAUAAAAUGCAAGCACAUAAACGAUAAUCGCAACGCAUAUACGGGUAAGUACUAAGGCUCGACGCGGCUCCACCCAAGGAUAGCUCUUAAGGUUCACUAUAUGUGGUUUAGUUCUAGGGAUAAGGUACCUGAACCAGCAGAUUCAUCAAUCCUCACCCAUUAUAGGCUCAUAUAGAUCGAGUUCGGUUCGGGGGGAUACAUUUCCCUAUGACCAUGCGGAGAUGAAAAUCUCACAAAAUCAUAGGUACGGAUGUACCCCGGAAGUAAUCCACUAGCCCAUGCGGAGGUGGAAACCUCACGAAAGCGUAGUUUCUUACUCCCACUUAGAAGGUACGACCACAGCGGUCGUGCAAUGAAAUGCAGCAUUAUUCUACACGAUCCAAACAUAAUAACCAUACAAACAAAUGCAUUUGUGAUUUUAAAAACAAGUUUUCGAUUUUUGAUAGAAGGACAGUAAAUAAUCAAUUUUUAUGGCUCGACUCUCAAAAAGGUCCCCAGCGGAGUCGCCAAGCUGUCGAAACCGUCCUUUCGGUUUAAAAAUUUUAGGUUUAAUAGAAAAAACGAGGAAUCGACUGUUUGAAAAUAAAACAUAGGGUCGCCACCGAUCCUUUUGUUUAGGUGUGAUCGGAUCACCUAAGAAUUUGAUUAUUUUAAUAAAACAUUUUUAGUUUACUAAAACAACGAUUCUGGUCUACGAAAAUAUGAAAAAAAGGGCUCGGGAGUCGGUUACGUAUGAGGAAGGAUUAACACCCUCAUUACGCCCAAAAUUGGUACCAAAUCGAUUAAAUACCGUCCUUAUGUCUAAAAUUAAAAAUGUUUUUGAAAUGCGGUUCUUGUUAAUAACAUUUGAAUAACCCGAGUUGGUUGCAAAAAAUCUUCUUGUUUCGACGUCCGAAAGUUUAUAAUUUGAAAUUAACAAAAGGAUGCCCAACUAUUUGGUCCAACAAAAAACCGAAACCCAGCACAGUAGGGCACGAUUCCUCAAAUUUCCGAACAUCGAACAUUGCCUCACCUUAGAAAAUACGGGUGAAAUUCUGAAGGGAUCUUCGAUUGUUUUGAGCGAAUGAAAAAGCGCAACCCAACACGAUAGGGCUCGAUUCUCAAAUCGCCAAACAUCGAACAUCGCCUUCGUUUUGAAAGGUUUUUAAUAAACAUGAAUGAAAACCUAAAGGAAUAUUCGAUUGUUUUGAACAAACGAGAAAACACAACCCAGCACGAUAGGGCAUGAUUCCCGAAUUGUCAAACACCUAGUACCUUCGUUUUAAAGGAUUUCUAGAAGACCUGAGUGAAAUUUUGAAGGGAUAUUUGAUUAUUUUAAACAAACGAGAAAUUGCAACCCAACACGUUAGGGCACGAUUCCACGAAUUGCCAAAUAUCGCAUAUCGCCUUCGUUUAAGGGAUUUUAAAAUAUAUGAGUGAAAUUUUGAAAUGAUAUUCGAUUAUUUUGAGCAACUGUAAAAUUGCAACCCAACACGUUAGGGCAAGAUUCCGCGAAUUGCCAAAUAUCAAAUCUCGUCUUCGUUUUAAAGAAUUUUUGAAUGAAUGAUUAUAAAGCUAGCUUAAGACGUAUUAAUUCGAUUUAAAAUAAGACGAAAUUAAUCAUAAAUUUGGGUUUUAUAGAACCACAUUUCAAAAAUCAAGUGAAACGAUGAUAUGGGGUAAAAGGCACAUAUGAUGGUACGAUGCUUGAUGAACAAGAUUAUUAAUCGACUAGCAGAAUAAGCAAUUAAAAUAUAAUUAAUCUAGAAAUUAUAGCCUAAUUUCAAUCAUGUAUGAAUAAUAAUUGACAUAUCAACAGGAUGAAUACCAUGCGAUGGUAACAUAUAUGCUACAAUAUAGAACAACCAACAAAAUACAUGCAAAACAAAAUAGAAUUUAAAAGUCAAAGUGGUAUAGGAUUAAUAAACUCAUGCUAUAUAAAUUGACAAGUUUGAAUGAAAACUAGGAAUAUAUAUAUAACUAUUGAAAUAGAUAUUAGAAAAUGAAAGUUGAAUUAAAUUGUAUGUAAAAUAAUUUAAACAUAAAUUCAUUUAAAAGUUAACAGAAUAUAUGAUAAUAAAAAUAUAUGAUACAAAAAAUACAUAACAAAAUAUAAUGCCCCAAAAUAGAUUUAUAAGGAAUGUACAUAUAAUUUUAUAAAAAAGAAUGAGAUUAAUGAUAAUGUACAUAUAAUUUUAAGUUGGUCUAAAAACCAUACAUCCUUAUAUCAAAACAUUUAAAUAAUAGGCUAUAUAAAACACAAAAAAACAAUGUAAUAUAAAGAAACAUUAAAAAAGAUAAUAAUUUCAUAAUUAAAAAGUUUCUAAAAUUAUUUCAUAUAUACAUAAAGAAAAUAUUCGGUAAAUCACAAAGUAAAAGGUGUUUUAAAAUAAAAAAUCUAUUAAAGUAAUAAGUGUAUUAAUAUGUAUAUAUAUACAUAUAAAUCUAAAGUAAAUACGUGUAAAUUUAUAUAAAAAUGAUAAUAUGUUUAGGUUUAGUAAUGUAUAUGAAUCAAAUACAUAUACUAAUAUAAAAGAAUAUAAAAUAACUUAAAUCUUAUAUAAAAUAUAUAUACAAAGCAUAUUUGAAUAGCAAAAAAUACGUAUUGAAGUACAAGGAUAAAGUCAAAAGCCAUUAUAUGUAUGAAAAUACAUUAACUUUAUUAUAAUAUAUACGUAAUAUGUAUAGUAAUACAAAGGAAAUGAACAUUUAAAAUGUACAAAAUGUGAUAAUAACAUUACAAAAAAAACGAAUCUACAAGAAUGAAGAAGCAAUCAUCAAGAUUAAUUAAAAUGUACAAAUAAAAUAAAAUAAAAAGGGGUAUAAAACAAUAAAAACUUAAUUAAAAUUAAACUAAAACAAAGGGAUAAUUCGAAAACAAACAAAAAUAAAAAAGGACCAAUAUUUAAUGGGCGAAAACGUCUGGGGACUAAAACUGGCAAUAUACCAGAUCCCAAAACGUCAAGUUUAAGCGCAGGUUAGAUUGUAAACGAAUAUAAAUUAUUGGGCCAAAUUUAAAAAAGGUAAAUAAAACAAAUGGGGCGCACUUGAGCACGCGUACAAAAAAGGAGGGCUUUUACCGAAAAUAACCCUUCACCGCAUAGGCACGCGGGUCCUGAGGGUUAGGAAUCGGAUCGGGUCAGGUGUACCAAUACGACACCGUUUGGAAAGCCAUUGGAUAAGGCCUAAAACGGUGCCGUUCCUGGUCCUAUAAAAAGGCCCCUUUUAGCCCACUCAGCCGAACCCUAGCCUCCAUUCUUCUCCUCAGCCAUAACCUGUGUUUUCUCCCUCCAAGAGACCAGCCCGCCUCAAGGUAUGGUGACCGACGCUCGCAGGCUUCGAAACAGGGUUUCUUUCAGCCACCGAAUUCCCUUUGAACCCCGAUUUCGACGAAGCAAAAGGGAAUCCGCAGCCUAAACUCAAGGUAAGUCCUCUUUUUCUUUUCUUUUUUUGAAUGUAAAAUGACAAAAAAAUAAGAAGGAAGAAAUAGCAAAUAGAACCGAAGAACAAAGAUCACCUUCUCAAGAAGUAGCUUUCUGAUUUUCAAGCAAUGUGUAUUGCGUAUGUAUUGUGUGUAUUCGUUUAUAUUGCCUUCGUAACCAUUACAAAGAUUAAAUCGUUGGCUUUAUAGCCGAAAAGAAAUCAAAAGAUAAAAAAUACAAACAAAUUCCUAUUGGCUGCCGUUCUCGCUGCUGUUUUUUGUUUCCUUUCGCAGGUACAGGUGCGUGGCGUGUGUACGAGGCUGUACUGGCGUCCGAGGGCUGUUGACGUGGAGGCCCGAGCGUUGUACGGCGUCUGGAGGCUGCAGGAGUUGCUGCGGCGCAAGCAGAGGAGGUGACCUAGGGUUUCUGAAGCUGUUAGGGAAAUGGGCCUAUAGGGCUUGCUCCGACUUGGGUUCUAACAUUAAUUUGGGCUUGUAAUAGGCAUCGAGUUAGUCUUUGGAUCAUAGGAUUGGUCUUUGUAAAUAGGCUAUGGGCCAUAUUAGUAAUUUUUGGACUAAUGGACCGUAAAAGGACAUUUGGGUUUUAUGUUUAUUAUUUUUGGUUUGUUUUUUGUUUUUUAUAUGGGUCGGGCAAAUUUGGCCCACUACAUAUAUUUUGUUGGUUUUUAAAUAAUAAGAUUAAAAUAUCC
rnacentral:lncRNA from 1 species